GGAAUGAGAGGAUGUAUGGAAACAAGUAGGAGGACUCCUUUGCUUCGAUGGCUCUGUUACACCGCCCCGUUCCGCCCGGUCGGUGCCACCCUCCGAUGCUUGCCUUCUUCCCAGGCGUCUACCGUCGCUUUGUUGCGGGAUGAAUCGUGAGUUCAUCAGCUCUAGCAGCAGCAGCAGAAGGAGCACUCUCGUUGCGGGAAAAUUCCAUGAGCGCAUAACGACAAAUUAUAGCGGAGAGGAAACGGACUCUGGGAAUUAGGGGGGAAGACGUGACAACGAACAUCGUAGGUUCUCAACAGGGGGACAGGGUUUCAGCAGUGUGUUCCCUCCUUCACCGCUCACACUUUCUCAUUGCUGUGCCUUCGAUUUCGGUGUUGCUGUUCUUGCUCAAUCGGCAGCUCAAAGGCUGAGAUUGGAAAUUCGGGCUUUGAGAAGAUCAAUUUCAAGUCGGUGGUAUCGACUUAACGAGGUGUUAGAGUCAUUGAGCCAUGGGAGUUUUCACGUGCUCCUUGAAGCACCAGCGUCUCUCCCCUCGUCUGCUCUUCUACGUCCACCGCUGCCUAUCCCUCUCCUCGCGCUUCUCCCGGAAUUCCCUUUCUCCUCUACAUUCGCUUCCUCCUCCUCCUCCUCCUCCUCCUCAUUCUCGCUUCCCGCACUUGCCCUCCCAUCCCUCCAAUUUUCUUCUGCGCUAUCAUUCCCGGUUCCCUCAUGUUCGCCUUGUCUCUACCCAUUUUAAUCCUGGCGACGCUGGUGCUGCUGAUAACAACCACAACCAUUUGGCAUGCUCCGUUGUUGCUCCGUUGGCUGAUUGCACUGCCGAGGAUAACACCACCGACGAGCCUUCCACCUCAUCGCCCUCUUCUCACAGGUGCCAAGUCGACAAGAAUGUGGAUUCCGCUUUCCAGUCACUCAGAACCAAGUUUACGGAGGCAUUUCAGAAACGAGUUGUCGAUUGGCAAGAUAUUCCUGGCUUUUUAGAGUCAUUUCCUUAUUAUUUAAGUGACGAUACAAAAGAUACCUUGGUGGAUUGCGUGGCCUCUCAUUUGUGGCAGCCCAAGUAUGCUUCUUAUGGAUUGGGCCUGCCUGCCUCAAGCCGACGAAUAUGCCUUCGUGGACCAGCAGGGAGCGAAUUGUACCAGGAGAAAUUGGUGGAGGCAGUCGCCAAGCAUCUGAAGGCUUCAUUGCUUGUUCUGGACAGCACAGUCCUUUCUCCACAUGACUAUGGGGAUCAGGAGUUUUCUUCAGAAUCAGACGAGGAAUUUUCGGAUUCGGAGGCUGAGCAUGUUGAGGGAUGGUCUGCCACUGAUGGCAACACGCAAGAUGUUUCUGAAGAACAAGAUAAUGAAAAUGAGGGUUCCAGAAAUAGGGAAUUUAAGGUCGAUGCUUUGUUGGAGUUUGCUGCUGAUAGUGUAGAAGAGUAUAAGCAAAAGCUUCUGUUGCAGGAAAGAAAGGAACGGAGGGAUGCUGGGCAUGAAGAUGAUGGUCACGACUUCAGUUUUAGACUUAGGAAAGGUGAUCGGGUUAAGUAUGUUGGCAGCAGUGACAGGCUUGGCAAGAUUGAGCAAGCAAGGCAGGUGUUAAAGGUGGGUCAAAAAGGGCGCAUAGUGUCGGUACCAAAGGGUCAUACAGGUAAAGUAGGCGUGCAAUUUGAAUCUUCUGAUCGAAGGAGCGAAGAGUCUUUGAAAACAAAUAAGAAGCUUGAGGAGGUUCUCAGGGCCACUCCACUAGUCGACUGGUGUGAUCUGUCAGAACUUGAACCUGACGAGAGUCCUCAAUCCGAGGAGAUAGAGGAUUGCCUUGCCUCAGUGGAGGCUCUUUGUGAGUUGUCUCCAUCCGCAAGACCACUUAUUGUUUAUUUCCCUGACCCUAAACAAUGGUUUGAAAGGGCUGUACCUUCAAGCCAAAGAAAGGAGUUUCUUGAACGGGUCGAAGCAAAACUUGACCAACUUGAGGGUCCUAUUGUACUCAUUGCUAGUCGUAUAAAUGAAGAAGAGGUAGAUUACGAUGACAAAAACAGGCUGAAGGCACAUUUGGAAGGAAUACGCGCCAGAUUGAAUGUGAAGUCUCCAGCAACGAAAUGGACCGUGGAGGAAGUAAUUGCUAUGGAUAUUUACGAGUUGUUUUUGAAUACCAUCAAGAUAUCUGCGCCUCAGAACGAGCAACAGCUGCGAGACUGGAAAAAGCGAUUGAACCACGACAAGGAACUUUGCAAUGCUAAACGAAAUAUCCAGAAGUUGCACAAGGUUUUGGAGCUUCAUAAUAUGGAGUGCCCUGAGCUCUCUAGCAUCGACUCAUUCGGCUUGAAUCUUACCGAUUCUAAAGCGGAAAGGGUUGUUGGAUGGGCAAGAAAUCAUCACCUAGGGCUUUGUCUCUUUGAACCAUUGCUUGUUGAUGGGAAGCUGAUGAUCCAAGCUACUAGUGUGGAGCGGGCAAUCACAAGAUUACGUGAGCAAGAGAAUAGAAAUUCUGCUAAUUUUGUGGACUACAAGGCACUGGCAGAGGAUGAAUAUGAAAAGGCUCUUCUGUCAGCCGUCAUCCCUCCAGAGGAAGUGGGGGUAAAAUUUGAUGACGUUGGAGCGUUAGAGAAUGUAAAGGAUGCUUUGAGGGAGCUUGUGAUGCUUCCCUUGCAGCGCCCUGAGCUCUUCUUGAAAGGCAACUUGACAAAGCCUUGCAAAGGAGUGUUGCUGUUUGGACCUCCUGGCACAGGCAAAACUCUUCUUGCAAAAGCAGUGGCCACUGAGGCAGGCGCAAAUUUCAUUAACAUUACUGGAUCGACAAUCACAUCAAAGUGGUUUGGAGACGCGGAGAAGUUGACUAAAGCAUUGUUUUCACUAGCAAGGAAACUCUCUCCAGCGGUGAUAUUUGUGGACGAGGUGGAUAGCUUGUUGGGUGCUCGUGGUGGGAGCUCUGAGCAUGAAGCCACCCGGAAAACUCGCAAUGAGUUUAUGGCUGCCUGGGACGGAUUGAAGUCCAAAGAGAGUGAGCGAGUACUUGUUCUUGCUGCCACAAACAGACCCUAUGACCUUGAUGAUGCAGUCAUUCGGAGGUUGCCGAGGAGGAUACUCGUGGAUUUACCCAACUAUGAGAAUCGAAUAAAGAUUCUGCAUGUUAUUCUCGCUCAGGAGGAAUUAGCAGAGGGAUUUAGCUUUGAGGAACUUGCUCGAAUAACACAUGGUUACUCUGGCAGUGAUUUGAAAAACCUGGCGGUUGCUGCUGCUUACAGACCCAUUCGUGAGUAUUUGGAGAGUAAUAAACAACAGCUCUUCAACUGGAAUGACUGCUUGGCAGAUACUGGGAUCCAGUGAAAGUGGAGGCACACUGUAUCCAGAGGCGGUUAAUACAUCCUUACGUGCACUGCGGUUAGACGACUUCCAGGAGUCAUUAAAACAGAUUGGGGCAUCAAUUUCAUUCGAUGCAUCAAGUAUGAAUGAGCUGCGUCAAUGGAAUGACAAGUAUGGAGAGGGUGGAAGCCGCAAAAAAUCUAAUUUUGGAUUCUCUUAGUACAUGAACUUAAGAUGUCUAAAUUUGAUCGGUUCAUCCCAUCCAAGUUUCAGACUUGCAUGGAGAGUUUAGGUAGCUAACGGAUGUUGAUUCCAGCCACGGCCGAAUUUUUUUUAACUUGGCUGUGCAUCAAUUGUCCAAGUUCCAUGGGAGCUUUCUGUGGUCACGACUGGGUAAAAACUUAAGGGGCUCUACGUGUGAACCGUGCAUUCUUGUCGUGUAGGGGUGGACCAUACUUCAAACUAAGAAUGCACCGUCCAGAGGUCGACCCAUCUUAUGGUAGUACGUCGGAUGCAGGAUGAGACGGAACUUGGAAGCUCUAGUUCAUAAGGAGAUAGUGUACGCCAUUCAUUAAUGUUGACAAAAGAGCUUUAGUACGAUAGUGGAUUAGAAAUGUAAAUGGAUUCUUCCUUAAAUGAAUAGAGUGGGUGGUCUUUGAGACCAUUCAUAGAUUCUUCAUAGAUCUACACCCCAAUUUGGACUUAAGCAGAGUCUUUAACGGACAGGAUAUGAGCAUCCAGAACGGUGCUGCUCAUUGUUAUUUUCAUUAUGAUUUUUGCAUACAAAUCGAUUUAGUUAUGCCAA